CCUACGGGUGGCAGCAGUGGGGAAUAUUGGGCAAUGGACGCAACUCUUACCCAGCAAUGCCGCGUGAAUGAAGAAGGUCUUCGGAUUGUAAAGUUCUUUAAUUGGGGACGAAAAAAAUGACGGUACCCAAGGAAUAAGCCCCGGCUAACAACGUGCCAGCAGCCGCGGUAAUACGUAGGGGGCAAGCGUUGUUCGGGAUGACUGGGCGUAAAGGGUGUGUAGGCGGUGUAGCAAGUUAGAAGUGAAAUACCUAGGGCUUAACUCAGGUGCUGCUUCUAAAACUGCUAUACUUGAGUGCAGGAGAGGAAAGUGGAAUUCCUAGUGUAGCGGUGGAAUGCGUAGAUAUUAGGAAGAACAUCAGUGGCGAAGGCGACUUUCUGGACUGUAACUGACGCUGAGGCACGAAAGUGUGGGGAGCAAACAGGAUUAGAUACCCUUGUAGUC
rnacentral:rRNA from 1 species